CAGGCGCGGCUGGCGGCGGCGGCGGCCGGGAGAGGAGGAGGCUGCGCGGGGGCAGCGGGCGCGUUGGGCGAGCAGGGGAAGCCGGGCACGGCAGCCCAGAGUCUUCUAGGAUGUGACCGUGGAGCGUCUGUCACUGUCAGGGCUCCUUAGAAGGCCCAGAGAGCCCUGCGAUGUCACCAUGGAAGCCGUGUGAGUGCAACCUUCGACACCCUCAGAAUGUCACCGUAGAGCCGCUGUGAGUGCCUGUGACAUUACAGCUUUUCAGCAGCGUGGAGACACCUAGGAUGUCACUGUGGAACCCCUGUGAGAGCCUGUGACAUCACGUCUGCUCAGCAGCCUGGAGACACCUGUUAUGUUGCCAUUGAGACCCUGUGACAGCGUGUGAAGUCAGUGCAGUUUGGCAGAUGGGAGACUCCUGGGAUGUCGCCAUGGAACCCCUGGGAUUGCCUGUGACCUCAGUGUUCUUUAGGAGCAUAGAGACCACUGGGAUGUCACCACAGAACCUCAGUGAGUGCCUGUGCCAAAUGGGCUCCUGAGCACAUAGAGACCGUAGUGUUCUCACCAUGCAGCCACUGUGACUGUCCGUGACCUCUCAAGUCUGUGGAAGAUUUAAGAGCCCUGGCAUGUCACCAUGGAGGCCCUGUGACCUCACUUCUCUUUAGCAGCCCAGAGAGACUUGAGAUGUCAGCGUGGAUGCCUGUCUGUGAUCUCUCUACUUUUGAGCAGGCUGGAGACAACUCUGAUGUCACCAUGGGCUGGUGGUUCAGGGAGGUAAGGGUGGGGGGAGGAACAUGUGCUAGGGCUCACUGGGACCUGCUCAGGCACUGAGUCGGCAGGGACCACAGCGGUACCCAGGCCUGGGAAACACUCCUGUCUCCCACUGGCCAAGUCUGGUCACAGGAAGCAGGUGUGCCCUCCACUGGGAUGAGAUGCCACAUCUCCCCACUGGAACAGGGGACUAGGUGUACCCCGUGUCCCCAGCAUGCCAAGUGUGGUCACGGAAGGCCAGGUCUCCCCACUGGGGUCUCAGACACGGUCUGCCUGCUGCCGGCAUGGGGAGCCUUCCCUCCUCUACCCGGGAGGCCAGGUGUGCUCACCAGAACAAUCAGAGUAGUGGUAUUUCACCGAUGGCUGGGACACCAGUGGGCGGGUCACCCAACACUGCCAAGUGUGCACCACGCCUCCCACUUAUUCCACACCUCUCAUGUCUCGUCGGAGCGCCAGAGCAGAGUCAAGCUCAACAGGGUCUUCUUUUCCGUGUUGCUUCUGCCAAGCCUGUUCCCUUGGCUGUGGUUUCUCUGGAUAGUAAGUAGGGACAGUGGGAAUCUCAUUGAUCCGUUCAUUCACAUCACUAAUUAGAUGAUGAGGCAUUUGGCUAUUUACUGAGCAUUUAUUUUCAUAUAUGUUCCUUUUCUGGGUUAAGUAUAGGUGGCCCAUCCACCAUGGUCCAAAUCAGUAGAAUUUAGUCUCAAAAGUAGGUGAAACACAAUGCUACAUCCUUGGAAGAAUUGUGUCAUUCCCACUGUCCUUAUGUACCAUCAGGAUUUAACUUUUUUUUUUAAAUUAGCAUAAGCAAUAACGACUCUAUGCAACCGAGCCAGUCUUGCUUGCAAAGAUAUGAACAAUAUCAGCUGAGGUGAGGAGUGCUCUGGAGGCCAGGGCCCAGGCAGUCUUCUCCCGCCUUGUUUUGGAGAGACCCAGGGCCUCUAGGAGCUCAUUUGUUCCAUAGAACCACUUGCGCCACUCUCCAGCGGGAAAGCCCCCAAACUUGGUAUCUCCUGCAUUGGUGAGUUCCUGAAUGUGUUCAUGAAGAUGUUGAUAUUUUCUCACUUUUCCAGUUGCAGCUUCCUGUAAAGAUGCUUCAGUGCAUUCACAUUUGAUUGUCACCUCCAUCACCAAUGCCUGUUUUUCUCUUACAAAGAUCAGGUCUGGUUUGUACAUUUUGCCGUUGUCAUCCCUCACAUGUGGCUCUUGUAACACUGUCCAAUCCUCCUUUGUAGCUUUGUUGAUCAACAUGUCACAGAUGUAGUUGUGUCUUUUAAUCCUGCCAUUUUGUGUUACUGCACAGUUUCCGAUGAUGUGGGAGCACGUUUCAUUUUCAGCCUUGCAGUGCCUGCAGCUUUUGGCACACUGAUCUUGUCUUCCUCUUGCCAGGAAGAAGCUCUCUUGUGGUGUAGACAAUUGGCUCUCAGCUGCAAUGCUGUUAUUACUUUUCUGUGAGGUAUGCCUCUGUAUCUAAAGAUCCAGAAAUUGCUGAUGUUAUCCUCCUCAAAGUUUGUAAUACUAGGGCCCUGGGAUACCAGCUGUUUCCCUUUAGUAAAUUCCUGUUUCCUCCGGUUACAUGGUCGCAGAUACUGAGUUUUCAGAGUAGCUACUUCCCAUUCUGAUGUUGUUUCAUCACCUGCACCAUCCAGCAGUUCUGUCUUAGGUUUAGGCUCCCAUAUGGACAGGAUCUUUUCUUUAUCUCCUCCAGCUGUUAUCCGUAAUUUCCUGUAGAUUUGAUCGGAGCAUUCUUCUUUCAGGAACAAUCUUAAGGCAUCAUCCGACAAUUGGGCAAGUCGACGUAAUCUUUGGGCCUGUAUACUUGGAUUGAGGCCCAUCAAUUUGGUGAUACCCAAACCUCCAUCCUUCAUGCUGGAGUACAGGACGGCAUCAUGUGUGCAUGGUGUUAAGUGUAGCCAUUCCUUGACAGUCGAUUGAAUUUGUAGGUCAGGGGAUUCAAGGAGCCCUGCUUUGCAUCCUUGUGGUCUGCCAAGUAUAUUAGUGUAGGAAUGGUGUCUAUUUGUUUGGAAUGUCCAUUUUCUGAACAGGUUUUAAUGUGAUGAUAUGUAUGGAUGUUCUCAUACAUAUUGCUCACCAGUCUGGUGACAUGGGGGUCCGCUUCUCUGUGCUGCAGAUCAUGUAGAAUGUGCUGGUAGCUCACGGUGUCAAAAGCCUUAGCAAUGCCCAUGAAUACGACACCCAGCGGUCUGUAGUCUCUUUUGGCAGAUGGAAUUAUUGUUCGUAGGAGUUUCCAGUUUUCAGAGGAUUCCGCUGCUCUUAUAAAGCCACUUUGCCUUGGGUUGAGGGAGCAUGCCUUAGUCAACCUUGCUCUCAUUAUUCUGGAGAACAGUCUUAACGAGAUGGAAUCGAUUGUGAUGGGUCUCCAGUUAUCAGUGUCCUUUAAACAAUCCGGUUUGGCUGACUUUGGUAUUAACACAGUCCUGCAUCCCCUCACCAUGUCUGGGAUUUUUAUCUGAUGUUAACCAAAGGUUGACUAUCUCCAUGGUCUGGGAGAACUUGGGGUCCAUCAUCUUGUGGUCCCUUAGGGUAAUCCCAUCUGGACCAGGAGCCAAAUUUUUGCUAAUUUCCUGCACAUUCUUCUCAAUUUCUUUAGCCAUAAUUAAGUCCCUGAAAGCGCUGUUGUCAGCUUUCCCUUUAAUUUGGAAGUUCCCAAGGCUCUUGAACUUACCAGGUGUUUCCCAUCUGGCUUUAAAUGCUGAAUAAAUUUCGCGGGGUGGCAUGUCACAGGACAAACAUUCAACAUCAUCCAGAGUAAUCUUGGCUAAUUUCCCCCUAUCUAGAUGGAACAGGCACUGGAAGUGCAGGUAAUUACCUCUCUUGAUUGCUCCCUGACAGGUCUUCUUGAGUUUCUUUCCUGGGUCUUCCUUUUGUUCUUAUCUUGGGUUGAUGUUCUUAUCUGGCUUAUCAUAUGGAGGCAUCCCGAAGCAGUCCUGCCCUGACUCAUUAACCAGUGAUGUCAUCUCGUGGCCAUGAAGUAACUGCUGGAAUGCCUGUGGGAAGGUGUUGAGUUUCCCAGCUGAAAGCCAUUCACCCAGAGUUCUCUGCUAAUGGGCCUGCAGCUGCCUCUCCCUCUCUGGUUGAUGUUCCCCAGCUAUUCUCCUCAUUAUCUGUGUGAUGACUCAUCCCAGGUUCUGUUCCCAUGCCCACAGCUGGUUCCUCGGGCAGCAAUCUCCUUUUGUCACUGAUUUGCUUUGCUGUCUUGGAUGGAAUGUGUUUGGCUAAGAGUUUAUUGAUGUUUUUGUUUUGCCAAAACUGAGCCUCUAACCUUAGCAGCAGAUGUUCUUCCUCCUUGGUUCAACACCUUUUGUGAGCUCCUCGGCCAGAGGUCUCAUUUGAGUGGGAAGCAACAAUCCUUUCCUGAUUUCUGACAAUCGGGUGUGCCAAUCUUUUGUGUUGUCCCAGGCCGAUUUUUGUUUUGAAGUCACGGCUGCAAACCUCACAGAUCCACUGCCCUGCUGGAGCUGUUUCAGCUGUUGCCCUGCAUUUAGGAAAAGGACUAGCAGUAGUUACUGAUAGUUACUGUUUUCCCUCCCUCAUGUGGCACAUUGAAACCGAAUCCUCCUUUUCCUGUGGGCCCCUUUCAGGUGUUUAAUUAAGCCCAACACAUGGUCCACCCGGGUUCCACAGCAUGGACAUGGUGGAUUUUUGUCGGGAAUCAUCACUGUUGGAAUGUCCUCCGGUGUCCGAUUCACGCUGUUCCCUGGGACGGGUGGGGAUUUUGCUGGCGUGUUGUUCUCUGGCUCGGGAGGCGAUGUUUCUGAUGUGCUUUCUGUCUUUUCCUCGCUGCUUUUUUCCCCAUUGUUAAGUACAAACAACUUGUUGGUCUUAAGGAGACAGCUGUCUUCUCCAGCACUCAGAUGAGGUGUAAGACGUUUGUACACCUCUGGCAGCCUGUUCAAACCCUCCCAACUUGUGGAAAAAUGAACACAUUUAUUCGUUUCAGACACUCCCUAGUUAUAAAACUCCAACACCACCAGUUCAUUUUCAUUUUCCACCAAAUCUUGGGGGGCAGAUGGUAAAUUUGCAGACAACAGGUCUCCUUCAGUGUUAGACAAGGGGUCUAGUUUUAAAUUGCUAGGCCCCAGUCUACCCAGUCAGAAGGGCUGGUCUGGGUGCUGGUCAAUACCUGGAAUAAGCGUAUCGAUGGCCCCAUUUUACGGAUCCGGAAUUUUAGUUUGUAGCAAAUUAAGGAGAGGAAGUAUUAGAUUGGUGGUGGACCCCCAACCACUUGCUGAUCUUUGGCCAGCACAAACCCGUGGGCUAGGUUUUGGGUAAAAAGCUCCACAGCUCUUACCUUAAAUUUGUUUCACCGAUUUUGGGACUAUUGUUGGCUGAUGAUU